UUGCUCGCCUGCAUUCUUUUUUUUCUGUCUCUGUUCCACUAACUCCAUUUAACCAGCAGGGGGAGGGGGAUGAUUAAGAAUUUGAUUUCGCUCCCGUCGGUCGUCCUGUGCACACCUGGAGGGUGUGUCUCGAGGAAUGGGGUACUAUCAACGGUAGCGUUUCACAUUCUUUUCGUUGUUUGAUCACUAGUAGGGAAUGGUGCUGGCCGUUGGAUAAAGUACUAAACCUUUCCCUUUUCUUCCCCAAAGGCAAGAAAAAGUUGCAUCAACUUGAAGAUGGAAGAAAUCUCCAGAAGCAAGGGCAUCACUGCCAACACACACUUAAAAAUGUCCUGUUUUAAAGAAAAUGCACCAGCAGGAAUGUGUUUUAAAGAGCGAUCAUCAUUUUGUUCCUUGGCGUCUUGUGCUUUGGGCAACUGACACUUGGGGAAUCUCACCUCACAUCUGUCACCUGAAGAUAUACCAUGAUGAUAGCAAUGGAUUCUUAUUUCAUUAAAGGCUUUGUUGUGUGGCUAGGACAAGUUUAGAUGUGAUCAGAAAAUAAUGUAGAAUGCAGAAGAACAUAAAAUAGUACAUGAGUAGAAGAUUUUUAUCAUGUCUGGAAAGAUGUUUGCAAACGAUGGAAGACAGUAAGCAAAGAAAAGAUCAAUAUAAACAGCAUUGUGAAAAAAAGCGUUAAAAAUCUCUGUUACAAUGAGGAAAGACUGAUUCUGUAAUCAAGCUAUAAGAAUGCUUUUUGUAUAAACAACAAGACCCUUAUACUGUUACUAAAUCAAAAGGAGUAGCAACUUGCAUAAAUUAAAGUCAGGAUUCAGGAAAGUUGCUAUCAGCGGUAAACCCUUUUUUCACCGGUGGUUGCCAUUUCAAAUACUUAGGUAGCCAUACUGCAGUACUUAACUCACAGAGGUGCAGCAGCACAGAUGCUGGCUAUUGGGCCUUGUGCAAAUGCUAAUGAGGCAUUCUAGGGGAGUGACAUAUGGUAAUUAGCCCCUAGAAAUGUCUGUAAGUGAUUUACACAGACAAGAUAUUCACAGAACCACUUGGGUGCAUACAGCCUUACUGGCAGCUAAAACAAUUAACGCAACCAAACUCUGGUGUUCAUCCAUUGCUUUCAAUGAAUGAGAAUGCAUUAGAAGUAAGUGUCAGAGAGUCUAGUGGAUGGGUAGUAUUUGGAGUGUGUGCAUGUGUGUGUAAGUGCGUGGCUGAGUAUGUGAGUGUAUGCAGAGGUAUGAGUAGUGUCUAGUUAGUGAGUGUGUAUAUAGGUGAAUGGGGUAUGUGUGUGUGUGUGAUCAGGUGAGGGGUGUUGAUGUACAGAGAGUGUCUGUGUGUGUGAAAGAGGGUGCUGCCAUACCGCUCACCUCCUUCACACCAAUGAGCAGUGGAUGAAAUGUGAGGGGGGACACUAGACACAUUUGCUUUGAAAAAUAACUCAAUGCAAAUGUUAAUAGAACAACAGGCCAUGCAGUAAGAAGCUGCAGAUUAGAAUGACAAUUUUUGAAACCCUAGUUUCUGUUGCUAUUGACUAAUUAUAAAGGUGUAUGACUUCUGCGGGCCAUGCUUAAGAAUUUCAGACAAAGGUGGGGAGGAGGAGGAGCCUAGAUGACACUAAGGAGUCUUUUGAAAUAAUACUCUAAUCCACAAAGAGUCAGUAGAGUAACAGGUCUUGCAUUACAAUGUAUUUUUUUAACAAUAAUAAUAAUGACACUAAUGACUGACUUCAAUCAUGUAUGAUUUACAAGGGAAAGAAACAUAAUAGAUGACAUAAUGAACAUUCUUGUAAAUUAGGGACAGGUUAGGGGUAUAACUGUGUGUGUGUGCGCGUCUGAGUGUGUGUGUGUGUGUGUGUGUGUGUGUGUGUAUGACUAACAUGAUGCAUUGGCUACCAGCGGUGAUUACCAUAAGGUGAUCAGAAAAGGGCAAGUUAGCACUUAAUCACCACGCAACUCAGAGACAUGCAAAUUAGCAGAUAAUGAGGUCUUCCUCAUUGCAGCUGAUGGUCUCUAAAUCUCUGGUUUCUAUGGUCACUUCAACAGGCUCUUUUUGCCACAGCCUUACUGCUUGUGGUUGAGUCUGUUUUUGAAUCCUGUCCAAUGUUUUUAAAGGUAGAAAUUAAACUGAAAAGUUAAACUACUAAACAUACGAGAAACAGAAGCAGAAAAUAAAAUCUGCCAGCUUGCUGCUUAUUAUGUUUGCUGCAAAGGUUUUGGCAUUUUUUUUUUUUGCUGUGUCAAAGUAAACAUAACAAAAAAAUCAGAAAUGAAGAACCAUAUUUGUAUAAUGCUUUCAGCUUUGCUGUGCGUCUUUACCUACGUCUAUGCCACAGUAACCCAUAUUUUAUAUUAAUCUCAUUUUGUAACAGUUUGUUCAUAAAAAUGCAUUUGGAUGAAUGUAAACAUAAGAAUUUUUCUAUAAUUAUGUUUAUAAAGUAUAUUUAUCAUCAGUCUUUAAAAUAUUGCACAGAGCUGUAAAAUUUCUACAUGAAAAUAAUUAGGGUAAUACAUGACAUAUUUUCUGACCCCACAGGAAGAUUGAUGACCACUAAGGGCAAAUAAUAUGGUUUUAAAUAUUUAAUGCCAUUGCAAUAUUUCUCUGUAUAGAUAAUUAAAAUUGAGGCUAAGGAGUUCAAAACGUACUUCAAUACAUUUAUGACAAGAUUGUUUAUUCUGACAGGAGGCUAGAAUGUGCUAGUUUUCUCUGCAGACUCUUUAAAGAAGUUACAGCCUUGAUGCUUAUUUGAUUGAAAAACUCUAUUAUUUUUUAAGAAAGUCAUUACGUAAGCAUAACUUACAGCAGCUAACUUCAUGUUAACCCCUGCACACAUCUAGUAUUCUCACGUCCCACAGGUGUAGAUUAGAACUGACAAAAUA